rnacentral:rRNA from 1 species
GGUUGGUUUUUUUUCCUCCGCUUAUUGAUAUGCUUAAGUUCA